CUGUGCAGGAGUCAGUCCCAGUCAGGACGCAGCAUGAACAUGAGGGUCCCCGCUCAACUCCUGGGGCUCCUGCUGCUCUGGUUCCCAGGUAGCAGAUGUGACAUCCAGAUGACCCAGUCUCCAUCCUCCCUGUUUGCAUCUGUAGGAGACAGAGUCACCAUUACUUGCCGGGCGAGUCAGAACAUUAGAAGUAAUUUAGCCUGGUAUCAGCAGAAACCAGGAAAAACUCCUAGGCUCCUGAUCUAUGAUGCAUCUAGUUUGCAAACUGGGAUUCCCUCUCGGUUCAGUGGCAGUGGAUCUGGGACAUAUUACACUCUCACCAUCAGCAGCCUGCAGUCUGAUGAUUUUGCCACUUAUUACUGUCAACAUGGUUAUAGUACUCCUCCCACAGUGUUUCAAGUCAUAGCAUAAACCCCCAAGGAAGCAGAUGUAUGAGGCGGGGCCACCCUGGAUGCUCCUCCUGGUGCUCUAUCUGCUGAGAGCAUUUCUCAAACUCAGUCAGGUUUUGAAAGUCAUUGGGAGAUUUUCAUAGAGGGGAACAGGGAGGCUUCUUUGAACCCGAAGCCUCUUUCGCCCUCAACCCCAGCAGAAAAGAUGUAACAAUGCCUGUCCUGGUUGGAUAAAGAACAGAGAUAAGUCCA